CACUGAGCUCACCAACGAUGCUUGGCUGCGGUCUGGUCACUAGUGACUGUAAGACAUGUGUUUGCGCGUGUGAAUAAUAUACCUAAGCCUAAAAGCCUCUUUUGUAUAUAUGUUUGCCAUCAGAUGACGCUAGCGCAGCAUACACAUGCAGUCGAGGGGUAGAGUAUGCUUGCUUUUUGAGACCGGCGCACGGGUGAGUUAUCGCGUAUUGCACCUUACGUGGUACAGGGGAAUAGCCCAGAAGAAAUUCGGAUUAAUGCUCCAUGGUUUAUCGAUAUGGCAUCGUAUUGAUAAUAAAGAUUUAUCGGUAUAAGAUGGGCAUGCGUAUCAUUAGCUAGUUGGUGUGGUAACGGCAUACCAAGGCAACGAUGAUUAGGGGUCCUGAGAGGGAGAUCCCCCACACUGGUACUGAGACACGGACCAGACUCGUACGGGAGGCAGCAGUGAGGAAUAUUGGUCACAUGGAGGCAACUCUGAAYCAGCCAUGCCGCGUGCAGGAUGACGGUCCUAUGGAUUGUAAACUGCUUUUGUACAGGAAGAAACCUCCCUACGAGUAGGGACUUGACGGUACUGUAAGAAUAARGAUCGGCUAACUCCGUGCCAGCAGCCGCGGUAAUACGGAGGAUCCGAGCGUUAUCCGGAAUUAUUGGGUUUAAAGGGUUCGUAGGCGGCUUUGUAAGUCAGUGGUGAAAUUUCCUAGCUUAACUAGGACACUGCCAUUGAUACUGCAGAGCUUGAAUAAUAUGGAAGUAACUAGAAUAUGUAGUGUAGCGGUGAAAUGCUUAGAUAUUACAUGGAAUACCAAUUGCGAAGGCAGGUUACUACGUAUUUAUUGACGCUGAUGAAMGAAAGCGUGGGGAGCGAACAGGAUUAGAUACCCUGGUAGUCCACGCCGUAAACGAUGGAUACUARCUGUUCGGUUUUCGGACUGAGUGGCUAAGCGAAAGYGAUAAGUAUMCCACCUGGCGARUACGUUCGCAAGAAUGAAACUCAAAGGAAUUGACAGGGGCCCGCACAAGCGGUGGAGCAUGUGGUUUAAUUCUAUGAUACGCGAGGAACCUUACCACGUCUUAAAUGUAGAUUGACAGAUUUUGGAAACAGAUAUUUUCUUCGUGACAAUUUACAACGUGCUGCAUGGUUUGUCGUCAGCUCGUGCCGUGACGUGUCAUGUUAAGUCCUAUAACGAGCCGCAACCCCUAUUGUUACUUACCAUCUGCGUACUGCGGGGACUCUAGCAAGACUGACCGGUGCUAGACCGUGAUGAACGGUGGGGGAUGACGGUCGAAUCAUCACAGUCCCUUCACGUCCCUGUGACUACACACGGUGCUACAAUUGGCUAGUACAGAAAGGCAGCUUACUUGACCACCACGCAUUGCGAAUCUACAAAGCUGCUCAGUCGAAUUGAAGUCUGGACAAGCUCGACUCCUAAUGCAGCUGGGAUUCCACCCUCGGGA
rnacentral:rRNA from 1 species